GGCCGGCGAGGUCGAAGCACGCGUUCGCCUGAAAAGCGGAAGGUCGCCGGUUCGACCCCGGCCCUGGCCACCA
rnacentral:tRNA from 1 species